GACGAACGCUGGCGGCGUGCUUAACACAUGCAAGUCGAACGGAAAGGCCUUUUCGGAGGUACUCGAGUGGCGAACGGGUGAGUAACACGUGGGUGAUCUGCCCUGCACUCUGGGAUAAGCCUGGGAAACUGGGUCUAAUACCGGAUAGGACCGCACUUUAGUGUGUGUGGUGGCAAGUUGUUUCGGUGUAGGAUGAGCCCGCGGCCUAUCAGCUUGUUGGUGGGGUAAUGGCCUACCAAGGCGGCGACGGGUAGCCGGACUGAGAGGUUGGUCGGCCACAUUGGGACUGAGAUACGGCCCAGACUCCUACGGGAGGCAGCAGUGGGGAAUAUUGCACAAUGGGCGCAAGCCUGAUGCAGCGACGCCGCGUGGGGGAUGACGGCCUUCGGGUUGUAAACGCCUUUCGCCAGGGACGAAGCGUUUUGUGACGGUACCUGGAGAAGAAGCACCGGCUAACUACGUG
rnacentral:rRNA from 1 species